UGAAGGUAAACAGGCUGUUGUGUUUCCUCGGUGCUGUUAGUUGCUGUGUGGCCGGUAGCCAUGUGAUGAGAUUGUCCCAGUGCUUCGCAUGUUUUUGGCUCCAUGUUCAAUCCAUUUGCUGAACACAGUGAAAGUAUCCAGUAUGUCUUUCCACCGUACCCUAGAGUUGGCAUCUUGUUUACCAGAGGGGAGCGCUUAACAGAAAUACUUGUGGAUCCAAAUCCAUGGUAGGAGGUCUGAUUAAGAGGAUUUGCAGAGAGGCUUUUGAGAAGUUGGAUGCUCACUGCUGGUUAGAAACUACUGCUCUGGAAUGAGCCACACUCUGUGCAGUAUUUGAUAUUAAAAUAUUCUCCUGAUUGCUUCUAAUUCUACAUAUAAUAAUAAAUCACUACCUUCUGAGAAGGAAGGCUC
rnacentral:lncRNA from 1 species